AGUGGCGGACGGGUGAGUAACGCGUGAGAAUCUACCUUCAGGACGGGGACAACAGCUGGAAACGGCUGCUAAUACCCGAUAUGCCGAAAGGUGAAAAGUUAUUUCGCCUGGAGAGGAGCUCGCGUCCGAUUAGCUAGUUGGUGGGGUAAAAGCUUACCAAGGCAACGAUCGGUAGCUGGUCUGAGAGGAUGAGCAGCCACACUGGAACUGAGACACGGUCCAGACUCCUACGGGAGGCAGCAGUGGGGAAUUUUCCGCAAUGGGCGAAAGCCUGACGGAGCAACGCCGCGUGGGGGAAGAAGGUUUUUGGAUUGUAAACCCCUUUUCUCAAGGAAGAACAAAAUGACGGUACUUGAGGAAUCAGCCUCGGCUAACUCCGCGCCAGCAGCCGCGGUAAUACGGAGGAGGCAAGCGUUAUCCGGAAUUAUUGGGCGUAAAGCGUUCGUAGGCGGCUGUUCAAGUCUGCUGUCAAAGACCGAGGCUCAACCUCGGGUCGGCAGUGGAAACUGGAUAGCUAGAGGUCGGUAGGGGCAGAGGGAAUUCCCAGUGUAGCGGUGAAAUGCGUAGAUAUUGGGAAGAACACCGGUGGCGAAAGCGCUCUGCUGGGCCGAACCUGACGCUGAGGGACGAAAGCUAGGGGAGCGAAUGGGAUUAGAUACCCC
rnacentral:rRNA from 1 species